UACCUGGUAGUAUAUCGGUUAGUAUACGAGCCUGUCAUUCAUUGGCUAGCUAGCGAGAAAGCUGGGUUCGACUCCCAGCCAGGGAG